UUUGACAAAAUCGAUUAGCGGAGUCUAAAUAGUGACUUGGCGGAAGAGUAUUAUUUAUUUGGACAUAAAUAAUACGAAAUUUAUCGAGAUUUAACGAUUGAGUGAUUUUUGGACUAAAUUGAGCAAAAGAAAAGCUUAGGACCAAAAGUUAAGGAGGUGGCUUCAUUAAGGGUUGAAGUGCACUUUUUGCCAUAAAUAUAUAUAGGCCUAAAUUAAAAUAAGAUCAGCAAUUACUCAUAAUUUCCAGCCAUCUUCUUCAUUCACUCAAAGCUUCUCCAAAACUCUACAUCCAUUAAAAUUUAAAACUAGCAUAACUCUUUCAUUUCUCAACCAAAUUGAGUGAUAUUGGUGUCUAUGGAAAGAGGAGAAUAUUAUCUACUGAUCUAGACUAUAAAUUUAAGAUUCUUCGUUUAACAUCGGAAUUGAGCGAUUUUGGCGGCGUUGGAACGGGAAAGGAAAGACCUACUGAUAUAAGCCAUAAAUUUCAGACAAACCGGGAGGCGAAGGGAUCGACGGUUUUGGCCUAGGAGUAUUCGGCCAAGACUAAUGCGUAUAAACAAUUUGGAUUGAAAAGCAAGGAGUACCUAGACUUGGAGUGACUAGAAGUCCAUCAUUUUUUCCGGGAGUCUGUCUUGCCAUGUACAGGCCGGCUUCCGUGACCGCUGCAGUAGUACAUUGUGUGAUCAGUCAUGACCUAGGACAAUAUUAUAGUUUUGGAAAAUGUUUAUAACGAUGUUAGAUUUACGUAGCCAGUGUUUACAAAAUAACUAAUAAUGUUUUCAUAAUUAAAUGCUUCCGUGUUAUAACAUAAUUGCGAAAAAUUUAUAGUGAAUUUCAGGCUUGCUACGGGAUUCGGAACUACAAUUCCCAUUCCCUAGCGCCGGUCGCGGCCCUCGAUUUUGGGUCG